rnacentral:rRNA from 1 species
AAGGACACUGAGACACGGGCCCUACUCGUACGGGAGGCAGCAGUGGGGAAUCUUGGACAAUGGGUGAAAGCUUGAUCCAGCGACGCCGCGUGAAGGAAGGAGUCCCUCGGGAUGUAAACUUCUGAACUAGUAGAAUAAAGGGGUAGCGGACACGCUACAAGAGAAGGUAGGCUAGGAAAAGUCCCGGCUAACUACGUGCCAGCAGCCGCGGUAAGACGUAGGGGGCGAGCGUUGCCCGGAAUCACUGGGUGUAAAGGGGAGCGUAGGCGGUCAAACACAAGUCAUAUGUUGAAAACCAUUUGCUCAACGUACAAGGACUUGGCGUAUGAAACUGGAGAAGCUUGAGGGUAGCAGAGGUAGACGGAAUUACCUGAGUAGGGGUGAAAUCCGCAGAUACAGGUCAAGAAGGCCGGUGGAGAAGUCGGUCUACUGGGCUACUAACUGACGACUGAGGUCCGAAAGCCAGGGGAGCGAACCGGAU